rnacentral:rRNA from 1 species
UACGGGGGGGGCAAGCGUUGUUCGGAAUUACUGGGCGUAAAGGGCUCGUAGGUGGCCAACUAAGUCAGACGUGAAAUCCCUCGGCUUAACCGGGGAACUGCGUCUGAUACUGGAUGGCUCGAGUUCGGGAGAGGGAUGCGGAAUUCCAGGUGUAGCGGUGAAAUGCGUAGAUAUCUGGAGGAACACCGGUGGCGAAGGCGGCUUCCUGGACUGACACUGACGCUGAGGCGCGAAAGCGAGGGGAGCAAACGGG